rnacentral:antisense_RNA from 1 species
GGGAGCUUAGAUGUGGAAGCUCUUUGGAAACCAAGAAACACUCUGCAAAUGAAAAGGAUACCAACUUCAUCUCUCUUUAAGAAUACAAUAUUAGUUUAAAAGAUUGUUCAACUUAAAGCAAUCUUGUAGAGAUUGUCACCCAUGAUUGAUGCUGGCAUAAGAAUGUUUAUCACAGCAUGGCAUAUAUUGGAAGUUUAGUAAAUGAAGAUACAUCCAAUCUGACAUUCCAUUCACAACCACAAAGAGAUAACGUAGAAACAUAUUUAGUAAUGUGAGAAAAUACUAAAUAUUAAGUGAAAAAGGUGGAAGAGUAAACUGUUCCUGUUUCUCCAUCUUGACAGGAAGCAGAAGUUCUCCUUAGCUGAUUUUUCUUCUUGCCUUAUACUGGGUUCUUUAACACCAGAACAAAAAUAAAUAAAUAAAAGAAUCUUCCAGAAAUUCAUGAAGAGACUUCAGGUCAGGAAAGCCUGAACUUUCUCAUCCAACACCUGUUCAAGUCGGAGGAUGCUGAUUAAUUCAUGAUGGAAAGGUAUCAAUUUCACAGCCCAGACCUCUACAUUCUUGAAAUGCUCUUCUCAUGGGAGACAUUAAAUAAGCUUUGAAUUAACUGAAGAACCAAUGAUGUGAUCCCUGGAUACUGGCAAUUGUUGCCCAAGAAACCCUCUCCCCUUGCUAUGGGAGUGCUGGGCA